rnacentral:rRNA from 1 species
UUAAAUUGAAGAGUUUGAUCAUGGCUCAGAUUGAACGCUGGCGGCAGGCCUAACACAUGCAAGUCGAACGGUAACAGGAAGCAGCUUGCUGCUUUGCUGACGAGUGGCGGACGGGUGAGUAAUGUCUGGGAAACUGCCUGAUGGAGGGGGAUAACUACUGGAAACGGUGGCUAAUACCGCAUAACGUCGCAAGACCAAAGAGGGGGACCUUCGGGCCUCUUGCCAUCAGAUGUGCCCAGAUGGGAUUAGCUAGUUGGUGAGGUAACGGCUCACCAAGGCGACGAUCCCUAGCUGGUCUGAGAGGAUGACCAGCCACACUGGAACUGAGACACGGUCCAGACUCCUACGGGAGGCAGCAGUGGGGAAUAUUGCACAAUGGGCGCAAGCCUGAUGCAGCCAUGCCGCGUGUAUGAAGAAGGCCUUCGGGUUGUAAAGUACUUUCAGCGGGGAGGAAGGUGUUGUGGUUAAUAACCGCAGCAAUUGACGUUACCCGCAGAAGAAGCACCGGCUAACUCCGUGCCAGCAGCCGCGGUAAUACGGAGGGUGCAAGCGUUAAUCGGAAUUACUGGGCGUAAAGCGCACGCAGGCGGUCUGUCAAGUCGGAUGUGAAAUCCCCGGGCUCAACCUGGGAACUGCAUUCGAAACUGGCAGGCUUGAGUCUUGUAGAGGGGGGUAGAAUUCCAGGUGUAGCGGUGAAAUGCGUAGAGAUCUGGAGGAAUACCGGUGGCGAAGGCGGCUCCCUGGACAAAGACUGACGCUCAGGUGCGAAAGCGUGGGGAGCAAACAGGAUUAGAUACCCUGGUAGUCCACGCCGUAAACGAUGUCUACUUGGAGGUUGUGCCCUUGAGGCGUGGCUUCCGGAGCUAACGCGUUAAGUAGACCGCCUGGGGAGUACGGCCGCAAGGUUAAAACUCAAAUGAAUUGACGGGGGCCCGCACAAGCGGUGGAGCAUGUGGUUUAAUUCGAUGCAACGCGAAGAACCUUACCUGGUCUUGACAUCCACGGAAGUUUUCAGAGAUGAGAAUGUGCCUUCGGGAACCGUGAGACAGGUGCUGCAUGGCUGUCGUCAGCUCGUGUUGUGAAAUGUUGGGUUAAGUCCCGCAACGAGCGCAACCCUUAUCCUUUGUUGCCAGCGAUUAGGUCGGGAACUCAAAGGAGACUGCCAGUGAUAAACUGGAGGAAGGUGGGGAUGACGUCAAGUCAUCAUGGCCCUUACGACCAGGGCUACACACGUGCUACAAUGGCGCAUACAAAGAGAAGCGACCUCGCGAGAGCAAGCGGACCUCAUAAAGUGCGUCGUAGUCCGGAUUGGAGUCUGCAACUCGACUCCAUGAAGUCGGAAUCGCUAGUAAUCGUGGAUCAGAAUGCCACGGUGAAUACGUUCCCGGGCCUUGUACACACCGCCCGUCACACCAUGGGAGUGGGUUGCAAAAGAAGUAGGUAGCUUAACCUUCGGGAGGGCGCUUACCACUUUGUGAUUCAUGACUGGGGUGAAGUCGUAACAAGGUAACCGUAGGGGAACCUGCGGUUGGAUCACCUCCUUACCUUAAAGAAGC